rnacentral:rRNA from 1 species
UACGAAGGGGGCUAGCGUUGCUCGGAAUCACUGGGCGUAAAGGGUGCGUAGGCGGGUCUUUAAGUCAGGGGUGAAAUCCUGGAGCUCAACUCCAGAACUGCCUUUGAUACUGAAGAUCUUGAGUUCGGGAGAGGUGAGUGGAACUGCGAGUGUAGAGGUGAAAUUCGUAGAUAUUGGGAAGAACACCAGUGGCGAAGGCGGCUCUCUGGAACGGUACUGACGCUGAGACGCGAAAGCGUGGGGAGCGAACAGG